rnacentral:tRNA from 1 species
GCGGGCGUAGUUCAUGGUGAGCCGCCGGCCUUCCAAGCCGCGCUGAGAGGGUUAGAUCCCCUCCGCCCGCUCCA